rnacentral:rRNA from 1 species
CAUCACAUCCUGGGGCUGUAGUAGGUCCCAAGGGUUGGGCUGUUCGCCCAUUAAAGUGGUACGCGAGCUGGGUUCAGAACGUCGUGAGACAGUUCGGUCCCUAUCCGGCGCAGGCGUAGGAAAUUUGAGAAGACCUGUCCUUAGUACGAGAGGACCGGGAUGGACGUACCUCUGGUGUACCAGUUGUUCUGCCAAGGGCAUGGCUGGGUAGCUAGGUACGGAAUGGAUAAGCGCUGAAAGCAUCUAAGCGCGAAGCCAACUUCAAGAUAAGAUUUCCCACCGCAAGGGUAAGACCCCAGAAAGACUAUCUGGUUGAUAGGUCGAAGGUGUAAGUGCAGCAAU